ACUUCGCAGCCAAUACAACAACCUACCACAUCAGCGAAUGGAGGCAACACACCAAGUCAGCCGUUUACAAUCAACAUUAAUGAUGGUUGAACAUACCAUGGUCAACGGCCGGGAGGAUGUACGAUUUAGAUUUAAACAUCAAACCGUAUGGUUAGACCUAAAUUUAUGUUUGUUAUUAGGUAUUAAGAAUUCUCAGCAACCUAAAUAAAUAUUCUCAAACUAACCCAAUAAAUAUGAGGUAUGCACCGCUGACCCACAAAAUAUUCAACAGGCAGCUGGAUGCACGUGCAUGCACAUGCCUGCACAUAAUCUUUUUAUAUUGAUACACAGUCAUAAAUUACAUUCGAGAUGAUCUGCAGUUGUAAAAUGUCACACCAUCUGCAUGAUAAUCGCUUUACGACAGUCAUACAAAUAUCUUUCCAUACCUACUUAUACUUAGAACUAAUUAAACAAGCCGAUGAUCCUAAGUAAACAAUUGUACUAAUAGAAACUGUA
rnacentral:lncRNA from 1 species